rnacentral:rRNA from 1 species
GACGAACGCUGGCGGCGUGCUUAACACAUGCAAGUCGAACGGUGACCCUCGGAGCUUGCUCUGGGGUGAUCAGUGGCGAACGGGUGAGUAACACGUGAGUAACCUGCCCCAGACUCUGGGAUAACUUCGGGAAACCGUAGCUAAUACCGGAUACGACACGGAGAGGCAUCUCUACCGUGUGGAAAGUUUUUCGGUCUGGGAUGGACUCGCGGCCUAUCAGCUUGUUGGUGAGGUAACGGCUCACCAAGGCGACGACGGGUAGCCGGCCUGAGAGGGCGACCGGCCACACUGGGACUGAGACACGGCCCAGACUCCUACGGGAGGCAGCAGUGGGGAAUAUUGCACAAUGGGCGAAAGCCUGAUGCAGCGACGCCGCGUGAGGGAUGACGGCCUUUGGGUUGUAAACCUCUUUCAGCAGGGAAGAAGCGCAAGUGACGGUACCUGCAGAAGAAGCACCGGCUAACUACGUGCCAGCAGCCGCCGUAAAAC